GACGAACGCUGGCGGCGUGCCUAAUACAUGCAAGUUGAGCGCUGAAGGUUGGUACUUGUACCAACUGGAUGAGCAGCGAACGGGUGAGUAACGCGUGGGGAAUCUGCCUUUGAGCGGGGGACAACAUUUGGAAACGAAUGCUAAUACCGCAUAAAAACUUUAAACACAAGUUUUAAGUUUGAAAGAUGCAAUUGCAUCACUCAAAGAUGGUCCCGCGUUGUAUUAGCUAGUUGGUGAGGUAAAGGCUCACCAAGGCGAUGAUACAUAGCCGACCUGAGAGGGUGAUCGGCCAAAUUGGGACUGAGACACGGCCCAAACUCCUACGGGAGGCAGCAGUAGGGAAUCGUCGGAAAUGGACGAAAGUCUGACCGAGCAACGCCGCGUGAGUGAAGAAGGUUUUCGGAUCGUAAAACUCUGUUGGUAGAGAAGAACGUUGGUGAGAGUGGAAAGCUCAUCAAGUGACGGUAACUACCCAGAAAGGGACGGCUAACUACGUG
rnacentral:rRNA from 1 species